GACGAACGCUGGCGGCGUGCUUAACACAUGCAAGUCGAACGGAAAGGCCCUGCUUUUGUGGGGUGCUCGAGUGGCGAACGGGUGAGUAACACGUGAGUAACCUGCCCUUGACUUUGGGAUAACUUCAGGAAACUGGGGCUAAUACCGGAUAGGAGCUCCUGCUGCAUGGUGGGGGUUGGAAAGUUUCGGCGGUUGGGGAUGGACUCGCGGCUUAUCAGCUUGUUGGUGGGGUAGUGGCUUACCAAGGCUUUGACGGGUAGCCGGCCUGAGAGGGUGACCGGCCACAUGGGGACUGAGAUACGGACCAGACUCCUACGGGAGGCAGCAGUGGGGAAUAUUGCACAAUGGGCGGAAGCCUGAUGCAGCAACGCCGCGUGCGGGAUGACGGCAUUCGGGUUGUAAACCGCUUUCGCCUGUGACGAAGCGUGAGUGACGGUAAUGGGUAAAGAAGCACCGGCUAACUACGUG
rnacentral:rRNA from 1 species